AUGGACCCAAACAUGAUUGCUGAUAUGGCUUCUCUUCCAGCGGAAGAUCAACAAAGAAUGACCGCCAUGAUUGACCAGCUCCAAGUCCGUGAUAGCUUGAGAAUGUACAAUAACCUAGUGGAGAGAUGCUUUCAAGAUUGUGUUGAUACGUUUAAGCAUAAAUCCCUACAAAAGCAGGAGGAAACCUGUGUUCGAAGAUGUGCAGAAAAAUUUCUAAAGCACUCUAUGCGUGUUGGCAUGAGGUUUGCUGAGCUCAACCAAGGAGCUGCAACUCAAGAUUGA